UACGAAGGGGGCUAGCGUUGUUCGGAAUUACUGGGCGUAAAGGGCGCGUAGGCGGUGUGUCAAGUCAGGCGUGAAAUCCCCGGGCUCAACCCGGGAACUGCGUCCGAUACUGGAAGGCUUGAAUCCGGGAGAGGGAUGCGGAAUUCCAGGUGUAGCGGUGAAAUGCGUAGAUAUGCGGAGGAACACCGAUGGCGAAGGCAAUCCCCUGGGCCUGCACUGACGCUCAUGCACGAAAGCGUGGGGAGCAAACAGG
rnacentral:rRNA from 1 species